GAUGACACAUACCCCUCUCCUCUCUGUAGAAAGAUGGGAAAUGUGCUGAUUGAAUCUGAAGUGGAAAAGACCUCAGAGACUAUCAACUCCAGCCCAUGCUUGAGAUCCAAUACAACAUGGCAACUUGGUGCUAGCUGCAAUGGUUAUUUUUGCUUCUGGGCAAAGUUUUACCUGACUUCAAAGACCUGUAGCUAGGGGCAGUUCCAUAGUUCACAUAUGCUAUCAAACAACCAUCAUGAACCAAUAUUAAUCCUCAUUGUUACUCUUUUAUUUUUGUAUUUGAACUAAUGACCUUGAGAUUCAAAGUUUCUGUUAUCCCAUUACUGAUACCUGGGAUUCUACAGGCUCCCUAAAUUGUUUUCUUUAACAUUCUACUGUGUACAUAUUUUAUGGCUGUAAAGUUACACUCAGAUUUACCUGAUGUUUACUAUUAUUCUGUAGAAGAUGUUAACUGAUGUUAGCACAAAUAAAUUUUGGAGAAAUUUUCCAACCAAGGGAAUUGAGAACCAGCUAGUUGGUUUCUGAGGUCAAAUACUCCAGGGUACAGGUCUCAAAUCACUUAAUUCUUCACAGCAAAUUAGAAAUGGAACUCCAGCUGGUGCUAAAGAAUAUGACAGACUGGCAAUAGAAGGAAAUGCUGCUGCUAGGAUUUUGAGCCAUUUUGUUCCUAAAAGUAAAAAUGCUGGACUCAAUUUCCCCCCUAAAUCUCUUUUCAUCAGGUAAAGUUUGCUCAACAAGAGGAAAAAAAUCUGUCCACCUGAUUUCAGUGUGUGAAUCUUGCUAAGGUAUAAAAAUAAAAUGUUAUUUAAACAGCAAACUAUAAUCCUGUUGAUGACCAGCUGUGCCUCCUAUUAGUAUUAAUAGGAGUUGCACAAGCAUAUCAAGGAAAGGAGGGGAAAAACAUACCACCUUAUGUUUUUCACACACCUUAACAUUUUUACAGCAAGUCUGAUUACAAGGGUUUACUUGAGCAGUAAUUAAACACUGAUUGAUUACUAAGUAAAAAUUGUUUUCACAGCAACAUGCAAAUGGAAAUGAGACAUUCAUACAAGGAACGCUCACAAUCAAGUUUUCUCCCAGCAGAUGAGUAUUACAUUUCCCAAGUACAAAACAUAUUCGAA